rnacentral:rRNA from 1 species
ACACGGUUUCCGUAGGUGAACCUGCGG